GAGAUGUGGGUAGUCCGUACGAGCGCACCCUAUCCUUAGUUGCCAGCGAGUCAUGUCGGGAACUCUAGGGAGACUGCCGGUGACAAACCGGAGGAAGGUGGGGACGACGUCAAGUCAUCAUGGCCCUUAUGGGCAGGGCUACACACGUGCUACAAUGGCCGGUACAGAGGGCAGCGAUGUCGCAAGGCGGAGCAAAUCUCAGAAAACCGGUCGUAGUCCGGAUUGCAGUCUGCAACUCGACUGCAUGAAGUUGGAAUCGCUAGUAAUCGCGGAUCAGAACGCCGCGGUGAAUACGUUCCCGGGCCUUGUACACACCGCCCGUCACACCAUGGGAGUGGGCUGUACCAGAAGUAGGUAGUCUAACCUUCGGGAGGACGCUUACCACGGUGUGGUUCAUGACUGGGGUGAAGUCGUAACAAGGUAGCCCUAGGGGAACCUGGGGCUGGAUCACCUCCUU
rnacentral:rRNA from 1 species